rnacentral:rRNA from 1 species
UCGAAAGGGGUUGGAUUCAGAUCUUACCGUUCGCAUACUAGGCAGCCCCACUGCGGAUGGUGCCGGUCGCCCGCGGCGAUUAAUUUCGUUUGCGGUGUCGUUUCUGGCGUCCACUCGGUGGUGGCUUGCCAACUUCACGGAGGGUCGCACUUCUCCCCUAGUAGAAACGUCGCGACCCGUUGGGUGCCGGCCGAAGGCCUGGGAAGGAAGCCCGCGCAUCCUGUGGUGGUUGCCACAGGCGUGCGGACUCCCGGUGACCCGGCCGGCUGCCCGACGGUAUGACCAGAGGAGCCGAUCCGCUGAAUGGGAAACACUGUGGUUUGUGAAGCGUGCGGCCUGGCGCCGAUACGUGCGGGGAUUGAGGUGUAAACCGGGGGUGCCCGUGCGAAGCACGGUCCCGGCCCCGCUGCGUUGUCGGUUGCCGGUGUCCUCGCACUGGAUCGAUACUCCCGUCUGCGACGCCCAUCUUCGGAUGGUCUCCCG